AUUGAACGCUGGCGGCAGGCCUAACACAUGCAAGUCGAGCGAGCGGAGGACGGGUGAGUAAUGUAUGGGGACUGCCCGUUAGCGGGGGAUAACACCUGGAAACGGUAGCUAAUACCGCAUACUAUCGGCUUAGGCAUAUGGGAUUAGCUAGUAGGGGAGGUAAUGGGUCACCUAGGCGACGAUCCCUAGCUGGUCUGAGAGGAUGAUUAGCCACACGGGGACUGAGACACGGCCCAGACUCCUAAGGAGGCAGCAGUGGGGAAUAUUGCACAAUGGGCGCAAGCCUGAUGCAGCCAUGCCGCGUGUAUGAAGAAGGCCCUAGGGUUGUAAAGUACUUUCAGUCGGGAGGCGUUACCGACAGAAGAAGCACCGGCUAACUCCGGGCCAGCAGCCGCGGUAAUUC
rnacentral:rRNA from 1 species